GUUUUAAGGAGAAUUUUGUUAUAGCUCUGAAGAUAAGAUUGGAAAUGCCCAAAAGUGACCAGGGACUCAAAUUUAGUCAUUGUCAGAAGCUCUCAAAAGAUGGAGACACUUUGUUUUCUUUCUAAAGAACCAGACAGGUUUCCAUCCGUGCGAGAAGGUGAGUUGUGAUACUUGCUCUGACCAGUGCUUUUUCAACUUUUCUCUGAUGGGCUUAGGGGAGGAGGAGAGACUCAUUGUUUUCCCUUACACCUCAGAUAACAAGACAGAAGAUGGGGAAGGAGGAGAUGAUUUUUGGUUAAGGAGAGGGAUGAACACCUGUCUGUGGGCAAGGUUUAUUUGUAGUUACUAACACACUCCCAAGAAUUAACACAACCCUGCUGUAGUCUUGCCACAGCCCCGGUGGCAGGGGAGGACUGUGCUGAGAAGACAGGUGCUGAGCCCCGCAGAUGGUCAGCCACCUAGUGGUACAAAGAGUCCUGCUCCCAUCUCGUGAGGUCACCCCAGCAGCUCCUCUCACGUGACUCCUGGCCACACUGCCCCAGGAAGAGGGCUGGGAGCCCCCGCUUCCAGGGUGCCCUUCCCUCCAACCUUUAUCCUAAUCGAAGACGAUUCCUUCAUGGACAAUUGGAAGCUGGAUGUUUUUGAAAUCUAGCAUUUACUUGAAAGAGAAUCGUUCUUAUUUAUUGCCACCAGUUAAAUAUUAUGGAAACAUGUCUGCUAACAAUUUGCUUUGUGUAAUUUGUUCUAAUGCUAAUAAGCAACAGCUGGGACACUUCCUGUGGUGAAUUCCUUUGUGGUUACAGUGGUAUUAUCACACACGGACUUCACCAAAUCGCUGAACUUGAGAAGAACACUCACUCCGGCUCUCCCAGGCUGCAGGAAAUUCCCCUCACUUAGAAGCAGUUCUGGGCAAAGCAUUUUUUUUAGAGGAGGGUGUACUUUUCCUUGACUCUCUGCUUCUGAACAGGCCUGCAGACCUGUGCUCUUCAAGUCCCAUCUAGAGAGCCUGGGAUUCUCCUCCCUCUCAGCCAUGAGCUUGAUCUCCUCCAGAGGAAACACAGCCAGCAGAGCUAAAGAGUGACACCUUCCUCCAGCACAGUGUAUCAUUGACCUGGGACUGAUUCAAUAAAAUUUCUGAAUCCUAAGAUUCCAAGACAAUGCAGUAUUUUCUGUUCAUGCUGUAAAAAGUAUUUCUGUAUUUUUAAUAAAGAAUGGAAUUUC
ensembl:lncRNA